rnacentral:sRNA from 1 species
ACGACCUCGAGACCAAACGCAGAAGCAGGAUCCGGAUCGGCAUUCAGAUUGAUGGCGAUGCCGGCGACCUGU